rnacentral:rRNA from 1 species
AACGUAGGUGGCAAGCGUUGUCCGGAAUUACUGGGUGUAAAGGGAGCGCAGGCGGGUCUGCAAGUUGGAAGUGAAACCCAUGGGCUCAACCCAUGAACUGCUUUCAAAACUGCGGAUCUUGAGUGGUGUAGAGGUAGGCGGAAUUCCCGGUGUAGCGGUGGAAUGCGUAGAUAUCGGGAGGAACACCAGUGGCGAAGGCGGCCUACUAGGCACUAACUGACGCUGAGGCUCGAAAGCAUGGGUAGCAAACAGG